AACUGAAGGAUGGAAAGAUGGGGAUGCUGGCAGCGAGCUCAGUUGCACAGGGACAGCGAGGAACCCACGUAAAAAAGCCAAAAAAAGGGGAAAAUCCUCUCGGAGAAGGCGGCGGUGAAGGUGAAGAUGGGAGCCAUGCUGUCGGCGUUGUAGAACGCCACCCACCCGCCCUCGUAGUCCAGGAGAGGUGAACGCCUGGUACUGAUCCCAAUUGAAGAUUUUGAGGGGAAAAAACUCCAAACUUUGAACAG